UCUUGCUUCGUUAUGUAGAAAUAUGGUUAUCUAAGGACUACUUCCGAGGAAGAAAAAAUGCUCCUCGUGGUCAGAACCCAAACGACACCGCCCUCGCCCCUCUGUUGCCUUUCACCCUCACCCACUUCCCUUCCCCUUCUCUUCUUCCCUUUCUAGUUUACAAGCUCAAGCUAGAUUCCAGUUUCCCCCUUGUUUGUUAUUUCCAGUUUCUUGCUUCUGUUUGACCGAUGAUUCCGAGCUCGUCUAUCUAUUCAUGCUUGUUCCCACGUCGACUCCUAACAUUGCAGCAUUUCGACUACCGCAGCUUCCUUCACCUCAAGGUCUCUCUCCACUGUGAAAACGACAUCGUUUUUGUGAAAAUGCAGUGUUUGGCUUCCUGUAUAAAAUUAACAAACCAAACUGACUCGAUUCGGUCGAAUUCGAUUCGUUUUCUCUCUGAUUUUGGUUUGAUUUCCAUUUUAUAAAAUUUCUAUUAUUUAAUUUCUAACACACCAUUCGAGUCGAUGACCUGCCAGUCUGCAACUGGGAGAGUGAGGGCUAUAGUUGGCAACGGCUUGAUUCUAAACUUCAUAGCAAAAUCGAUUAUCACGCUCUAAAUUCUACUCUGCCUCUCUAUAAACUAUCAAAAACUGAGCAGAAGUCGAGAGAGAAAAGCCGCAAAAUGUACAAGACGAAGCUGCAGGAGCUGUGCCACCAGAGAGCAUGGGACCUGCCGGAUUACGCCACCUUGAAAGAAGGACCGGAUCACGAUCCUCGCUUUCAGGCCACCGUCACUGUCAAUGGCCUUUCCUUUCAUUCCCAAUCUCUGGCUAAAUCUUCUAAACAAGCCCAAAAUGACGCCGCGAAGUUUGCCUUCGAUCACUUCUCUUCCUCUGGCUCUUCUCCUCCUCCGCCUGUUUCUUCAAGCGCAAUCGCUGAUGUUAGUAGUAAUCUUUCCUCUGGAGGGACAUUACAAUUUAAAGCACAAGAAACAAAUCAAGUUUUUAGGGGGAAUGGGUCAGCUACAAUAGCUAAAAACGAUGAGAGAUUCGCAGUUUCUUCAAGUGCAAGCGGUGAUUUCAGUAGUGAUCUUUCCUCUGAAGGGAUAUUACAAUUUAAGGUACAAGAAGCAAAUCAAAUUCCUGAGGCGAAUGGGCCGGCUACAAUUGCUAAAAACGUUGAAAGAUUCACAGAUAUGCAGCAUUUGUACAAAAAUCAGUUGCAGAGCUAUGCUCAAAGGAGAAGUCUCACUCUCCCUGUGUAUUCUUAUGAACGUGUGGGUCCUCCUCAUGCAAGUCGCUUCAAGUGUAAGGUCACAAUUGAUGGGCAAACCUAUGAGAGUCAGGAGUUCUUUCCCACUUUAAGCAAGGCUGAACAUGCUGCUGCAAAAGCUGCAUUGAUGUCACUGGCACCGAAUGGAGUUGAAGAGGCUAGUCUUCUAUGAACUCAUAGUGCUUCUUAUCAUUUCCUCAUGGACAUUCAGUCAUUCACUAAUUAGAUGUUUUUUUGUGCAGACUUAUUUUGGUUGUAGUUGUUAUUUUAAUUUAUUCUCUUUUCUUUUUAGGAUGAAUCUGCUUACAAGAACCUUUUGCAAGAACUGGCUCAAAAAGAAUGUUAUCGAUUGCCAACUUAUAGUACAAUCAAAUCUGGUGAAGGUCAUAGACCAACUUUUGUUUCUACCGUAGAGGUAGAAGGAGAGUCGUUUACAGGGCAGGAAGCGAGAACUAAGAAGCAGGCGGAGUUGAGUGCAGCAAAGGUUGCUUACACAGCUUUAAAACAGCGUAUGUAUAUACGAAUAUUUUAUACAUAUAUGCAUUCAUAUAUUUAUAUUCUUUUGUGCUUAAUACGUCCAUUUAUUUGAUAUAUGAAUUUAUUUGGCUAUAUUAUCCAAAUUCUUGAUUUUAUAUCAACUAUUGUUUAAUUAGUACUCAAAUUAUCACUUUUAUAAUUGAUUAAAGUCUUAGUUUCUAGCUCUUUAAGAACUUAGAUGGCAAACUAACUGGAAUUCGAGUUUGUGAUCUUACUAAUACUAUGGUCUCUAUGGUUGGAAAGAAGGCAGAAGAAAGGAAAAGGGAGGGAAGAAGAGGCUGUUCCACAAUUAGGUCACAAGAAAGGCAUGGGAACUCAAGACAGAGCCUUAUGGUUUCUAGUUCUGGGGACUCAAGUCGUGGCCCUAUGGUUUCCUGCUUUGGAAACUCUAGUCAGAGCUCUAUGCCUUCCUGUUCUGGCAAUUCAAGGCAGAGCCCUGUGACUUCUUGUUCAGCAAAUUCAAGUCAGAGUGCUCCAUGCCUAACCCUUCCUCAGCAAGUACAAAAAGUUGUUCAGUUCACUUCUUCUAAUUUGAGGUCGAAUCUCACUGCUUAUCUUCAACAGAAUGUUCAACCUAGAUUGCCCGGGCAUGAUGAAAAGGCUGAAGAGGAUAGAGGUGAAUGUUUCAAAAGGCUCCUAUAACAUGCCCUCAUAUUAAUGAGAUGCUUAUAAUUUAAUAGUAUAGUGGUAAGGUUUUCUAUGACUUGCAUGACUUUACGUGAAUUCUGCAUAUUAUUUGACGUCUCAUAAUAUGGUCAAUAACUUUAACAGUAAUGGCAUGAAAAACUGAAAACGAAUGAGAUGUCAACUGAAUGAAACUUUAGCAUUCUUUUUCUCAAUACUCAUUAGUUGGUCACAUUGUAAGUGUAGUCAGAUGCAAGUGCUGUUCAUGUCAGAACCCUUUUCUUAAAAUUAUUCUUUCAGAUAUGUGCAUAUGGUUAAUAUAUUCAAUACAUGUGAAACAUCUUUUGAUCUUACAAUCAAAUUGCAUCUAUAUGUCAUUUAAUACAUCAAUGCAUUCAAGUCUCAAACCAUUAUGUUCUGUAUUGUUCACAGCGACUACUGAUGUUGUCAGUCGUGAUCCUCCCAUUGUGUCUCCAGGAACGGAAAGCAGCUCAAUUGUGAAUAAAAUUUCAUCUUCACCUGGCCCAACCACAACUUCUUUGCCUGAAUCUUCAUUCUCCUCACUUUCUCAUUCCCCCACCAAUUCAGCUGUAAGUACGGAGCAUGUGGUUGGAACGAAUAUUUCAUGCCACAAUAAGGUUAUUCUUCAUCCACGCGGGACAAACAUGACAUAUCCUCCAGGCAGCAUCGUGUUGUCCAUGAGCGAUGACAACUGGGUUGCUGUGCAGACAUCGCAAUCCAGCAAGUAAAAUCUAACAGAGCCCAAAAGAAUCCGUUGCCCUUGAGUUUGUCACCUAUUGAAGGGUACUUUGGAUACAAACUAAAUUCAGCUUUACUGAAUGUGUUGAAGAUGAGAGGAUCAAACAGAACCAGAAUUAGAAAUGAGAACAACAUCAACAUAGAAGAAAGAGGAGAGACUUAAAUCAAGUGGAAGUGGACUUUUCUCUUUUUUAUUUCAUACGUAAAAAAUGCUUUUUACAUUUUCAGCUUCAUACAUUUAUUUACAUUUACAGUACAUCUUCUAGAGAUUUCAGAAAAUUUUAGCUAACAGAUCACAGCCUUACACCUGGUAACAAAAGAGUGGCUGAGUUAGAAU
rnacentral:misc_RNA from 1 species